GGUUAUGGCUCAGUGGUAGAGUGCUUGCCUUGCAUGUGUGAGGCACUGGGUUCGAUUCUCAGCACCA
rnacentral:tRNA from 1 species